GGUCUCCAGUCCUGCACGGAUCACUUUGAUUCAGUUCAAGGAAUCUGAGUAGGGGAGCCUUGGAGAAGAGCAAGAAUCUCUUUCUGACCUGGGUUUACCUCUUCACCAGAGAUGCUAUGAGCUCAGUGCCAUCAUCCGUGUGUUGUGGAAGGGACUGUGAGGGGCUGUGCUACUCUAUAUUCCGGGAGAUCAGCCAGUCUAUGAAGCUCCUCAAAAUGCACAGCACCACUGACUUAACUUGUUAAUGAACUGGAACUUCACACCUGCUCCCAGGAGUCCCCAAGAGGCCCUAUGAAGUAGAAACACAGCUGAAACGGCCUGGGGAUUGCUGGCUGAUUUUUAAAUCCUCAGCUUUCGUGUUGGUCACACAUAUAUUCACAUUCCCAAAUGAAAUAUAUCUUUGUGCAAGAGCACAGAGGGUGAGUGAAGCUGGCAGCUUGGCUCACAGAUGCUUUUAUGCUCCUGUGCACACACCCCCACCCUUAAUUGCUAUUUAAAUCCAGAAAGGCAUGCAUCUGUGACUCUCCCUAUAUAUUAGUAGUGAAAUGCGAGUGUGAACCUAGCAAUUUUGAGUUAGUCUAUAGGUGGCCAGGUAGAAAACUUUGGCUUGAAGGCUGGGGAGUACUCAUGUGCACACAUCCAGCCUGUGUAUACAUCGGCUCUGAUGCCUCUGUUUGCCAAGUAAUAUGCUUUCUCUUGGUGUUACUUAAAUGGAUCAAGAUUUAUGUUCAUCACGAAGAAUUUCUUUAACUGCUCAGUAUUUAAAAUAUUUAAUCUCAUUAAGAAUGUAUAUAUAUUUUAUAGCUUAUACAUAAGACUUUAGAAUAAGUAAUAUUCUAAAAAGUUUCUAGAAG